UUUUCAAAUUAUUUUUUUUUAUUUUCUACUGAAAAAUUGAGGAAAUCGGACGUGUCAAAUUUAUUUAAAUUUUAAUUUCCGAAAGUUUAUAAAAUUGCAAUCUAGUAGAGACUAUUUUAUCAAGGAAAUACCGUUUGUCCGCUUGUAUCUGAAGCAAUUCUAUUGCAAAUUCCAAAUUUCAUUUAUAUAUUUGCAUCAUUCAUCUACAAAAGAUCAGAAAUGUCCUAUUUUGUUAUUGGGACUGGACCCCGGAAUCUUUUACCAGGCUUUAAGUACAGAUUCCAAUCAAGGAGGGGUCAGAUUGGCCUGGUCCUCGGUUCUGCCUUUGGUAAAGGGGAUUCAGCAUUCAAACAAAAUUCUUUACUUAAUUUGGAUGCGACUUCAUGACGAUUGGAAUAUAUUCCAAAGAGAAGCAAAACGGCUUCCAAAAAUCGCAUAUUUGGAAUAUAGCGUCGAAUUAAUGGAAUUAAUUGCCUGAAAAAACCACAAAUAGCGUUUGCGAUCAAAAAUGGGCCAUCAAUUUAUACCAUAGACUGUUUAUUUGCCUCGAUGGCGCUCGCCAUUACAAUUGUUAUCUAUUAAGUUCAUACCCUGCAAUACAAUAUUUACUUCCUCCAUAAUACACACAUAUAUCAAAUUUUGAAAACAAGGAAUAACGAAAGGUUAAUUCCCAUAAUUGACGUACAAAAUUUACAUAUUGAGCUUUGCAUUGGUAAAUCAAUUUCCACAUUUGGAUUUAGAAAUGGGACUCCAUCCCGAAGUCAUCAGGCCUGGCGACGUCGUGGGAUCACAAAAUGGAGUCAAAACCUUUGAAUAAAUGUAAAAGCUCAAUUUCUCAAUUUUGCCAGACAAACAUUGUAACUUAACUUUGAACUUGUAAUCUCACAUCAAUAUUGAUGCAGGGAAAAACUUUUGUUUAUAUAUCAAUCUUAUAUGUGACCAUUGUUAUUCUUUGUCCACUAUUUAUAUUGAAUACACUUUUUUUAUUAUUAUUAAUUAAACCCUAAAUUAUCUAAAA
rnacentral:sRNA from 1 species